AGUGAACGCUGGCGGUAGGCCUAACACAUGCAAGUCGAACGGCAGCACAGUAAGUUCUUGCUCUUACGGGUGGCGAGUGGCGGACGGGUGAGGAAUACAUCGGAAUCUACUUUUUCGUGGGGGAUAACGUAGGGAAACUUACGCUACUACCGCAUACGACCUACGGGUGAAAGCAGGGGAUCUUCGGACCUUGCGCGAUUGACUGAGCCGAUGUCGGAUUAGCUAGUUGGCGGGGUAAAGGCCGACCAAGGCGACGAUCCGUAGCUGGUCUGAGAGGAUGAUCAGCCACACUGGAACUGAGACACGGUCCAGACUCCUACGGGAGGCAGCAGUGGGGAAUAUUGGACAAUGGGCGAAAGCCUGAUCCAGCCAUACCGCGUGGGUGAAGAAGGCCUUCGGGUUGUAAAGCCCUUUUGUUGGGAAAGAAAAGCAGCAGGUUAAUACCCCGCUGUUAUGACGGUACCCAAAGAAUAAGCACCGGCUAACUUCGUG
rnacentral:rRNA from 1 species